rnacentral:rRNA from 1 species
UACAGAGGGUGCGAGCGUUUAAUCGGAAUUACUGGGCGUAAAGCGUGCGUAGACGGUUAUUUAAGUCGGAUGUGAAAGCCCCGGGCUCAACCUGGGAAUUGCAUUCGAGACUGAAUAGCUAGGGUGCGGUAGAGGGAAGCGGAAUUUCCGGUGUAGCGGUGAAAUGCGUAGAUAUCGGAAGGAACAUCAGUGGCGAAAGCGGCUUCCUGGACCAGCACCGACGUCAGGCACGAAAGCGUGGGGAGCAAACAGGA